UAAAACUCAAAUGAAUUGACGGGGGCCCGCACAAGCGGUGGAGCAUGUGGUUUAAUUCGAUGCAACGCGAAGAACCUUACCUGGUCUUGACAUCCACAGAAGUUUCCAGAGAUGGAUUUGUGCCUUCGGGAACUGUGAGACAGGUGCUGCAUGGCUGUCGUCAGCUCGUGUUGUGAAAUGUUGGGUUAAGUCCCGCAACGAGCGCAACCCUUAUCCUUUGUUGCCAGCGGUUAGGCCGGGAACUCAAAGGAGACUGCCAGUGAUAAACUGGAGGAAGGUGGGGAUGACGUCAAGUCAUCAUGGCCCUUACGACCAGGGCUACACACGUGCUACAAUGGCGCAUACAAAGAGAAGCGACCUCGCGAGAGCAAGCGGACCUCAUAAAGUGCGUCGUAGUCCGGAUUGGAGUCUGCAACUCGACUCCAUGAAGUCGGAAUCGCUAGUAAUCGUGGAUCAGAAUGCCACGGUGAAUACGUUCCCGGGCCUUGUACACACCGCCCGUCACACCAUGGGAGUGGGUUGCAAAAGAAGUAGGUAGCUUAACCUUCGGGAGGGCGCUUACCACUUUGUGAUUCAUGACUGGGGUGAAGUCGUAACAAGGUAACCGUAGGGGAACCUGCGGUUGGAUCACCUCCUUACCUUAAAGAAGC
rnacentral:rRNA from 1 species